UUCUUUCUUCAGGGCUGCUUCGGAGAGGCUGGGAGGCUGCGGCAGGGCAGGGCCCGGCGGUCCUGGGACGGGUUCGUGGGGGGGGGGUUCACGCAAAAAAGAGCCAUGUCCCCCGUGAAGGGGAAGCCCCUUAAAACGUAGCGUGUUGCCCCAGGGAGCCGGCUGCCUGCCGUGCUGAUUUCAGCCAAGUGGAAAGGGUGAAGCGAAGGCAGCUGGGUGCUGGUUUGUAUGGAGCUCGCCUGGUUGAAGCUUUGUGUGCCUCCAAAGCUGCCAGACCUCCUUCUUUCAUCCGUAUCACGCUGCCAAAUCCAGCCAAGCUCCUACCCCAGGUCACUCACGGUUGGCGAACACCGAUGCGGACACUUUGCUGUUGGUCUGAGAGCUCAGGACCUGAGCUUCCCAGCGAGAAGUCUCUGCAACGAAGAGAAAGGAUUUAAUCCGUUCUGCGGGUGCUGGCACUUCAGGAGCAAUUCCCGUACCUACGACACAAAGCAGUGCUUGCUUGCAAUGAUCAAACGUGAAAGUGCUGUACUUCUGUCCUCUGGAAAGUUGGGAUCGAAGUCUCCAUUUUGUUUGUGGGGUUUUCACCACUUCGGUCUGUAAUCGCUUCCAAUUUGAGUGGUCUCGCACUACAAGCCAGGCAGUUAAUGCUCAGCGAGGAAACCCAAGGCCCGGGUGUGCACCACAUACUCUUGCAGAGCAUUCGCACUGGCUUCAGCAUCAAGUUUCAGUCUAACAACGCAAAUGUUUGGGGGAGACAUCAGCAAACGCAGGGCUUGGGCCUGACCUAUGUGUUCCCAGAGCAUUGCUAGGGAUAUUAAUAGUGCUGCAGGGGAAAGAAAGAACAGUUGGAGCCGCUUUGCCACCUUUUGGCCAGUAAUAUGGUAUCCUCUAUGUGUGGGGGUUCCCUGCGUUUGGAAAAAUAUUCUGUUUCUGGUGCCGGGCCUUAAAGAGCCACAGAGUUAAUGUUACGUGUAACCCAUCAGUUCACCUGCCUGUCUCGCAGCGGUACCAUCCGGGUGGGAAGGAGCUGACACAAGUCUUCCUUGCUUCUGUUGGCUAUGUGGAAGUGACUGACGUUAUCCCCGUCCUGUGUAAAAAUGGCUCAGGCACUGAGUUUCAACAUACCUGUGUUGCAACCUGGCAGCGCUGCAUUCCUCGCUCCUUAAGGACGGGCAAGCUCUGUGACCCAUGCUGGUGGGCAGGAGCCGUCCGGGCACAGGGCACAGAACUGCUCCGACCCCUCUCUGUGAGGUGCUAGCAGCCCAGCUGUGGUGAUGUGCUCAUGCGUUUUGCUAUUAGCCCCGGCGUUAGCACUCGGAUGCCUUUGGAUGUGCCAGCCCAUUCGGGCAAAAGGAGAGGUCAGGCUCUGUUUGCUUGUCACUGCAAGGAGACAGCACAGCCCCCUUUUGUAUUAUUAAAGUUCCUUUCAGAAGGUUUCACCUAGGCCUUCCUUGCUUUAAUUUAUGCUCACCCUUUCUUUAGUCCUUCAGCCCCAGCCUGAGCUAUGAUGUGGGUGUACCUUCUGCCAGACCUGUUCCUAAAUUGAUCGGUCUCACAGGACUGGGGAAGAUCCUUUUCUUCCUGGGGUUAACAACCCUUUUUACCCACCAAUGUCUGGAUUUCCAUGUCGUGGACCAUUCCCCUUGUUCUCUUGAUUCACUCUCCCUGGGACACGCUUCUUUGAAGAUCAACACCUAAACCUGGUCCAAAACUCUAGCACAGGCCUGGUUAUGAUAAGGCAAAUCUAGUGUGGUUCUCCAGGCUGUGUUCCUGUUUACACAUCCUGGUAUGCUACCUGAUUAUUCACAUAGCAGGGCACUUGACUCAUGCUUCAAACUGCCCGUAACUUCCUGAUCCAGCUCCUUAAUCCACCGCUUCCCGACAGUAUUUGUGCAGUUAAUUAUUCUCAUCUAGAUUAAUUCUUCGGAUCCUCUGUUUUCCAGACCCUCUGCCAAUUUUUCUGAUGUUGCUCUGCAUUUCAGCCCUGCCCUCUUCCCUGUACCUUUUCUUCCAGGGUUGUAUUGGUCCUUUGUCAUUUGUUUGUUGUCCUGAGCAGAACUCAGAGACUCUUCAAAACCGGAGUUGUGAUCUGCACGAACCAAUCAUCAGCACAGAGGUCUCAUAAAGCUUCAUGGCUUUCAAAUGGUGAGGCACUACAGCUCUGACAAUCACCACUUACCUCAGAAAGUUUCAGAAAAGCUGCUUGUUUCAGGCAGCAGCCAUCUCUGUAUCCAAAGCUGACACUUGAACAGAUCGUGACUAAGGUGCAAGAGCACUCCUCUGGCAGCUCGCUGGUCCAGCAGCGUUCCUCCAGGUAUCUCCUUAAGGUUUCAGCAGGGAAGCAAGAAGACAAAGACACAACCCUGAGGUCAGAUAGGCUUUUUGGAAAACACCACAUUCAUAGAUUCAUAAAAUUAACAUACCAAGACAAUACCAUUACAAUUUGUAAAUCACACGUGCACAGGUCCUUCAAAUUACACUUCUUUCUUCUGGUGCUCGCAAUUCUUAUGAAUUCGCACCCUUCUUUUUUAGUUCCGGGACCUGAAUUUAAUGCUUGAAACUAGCAAAAAUACACUUAUAUAGUAGAUUUUUAUCAGGAUUUGUGAUAUUCUGCAUCUCAGUAUAAAAUCUACCCUACAUACAAGCUUUUAAUGGAAAUGUUGUAUCAAAACCACUUGUUUCCAAACCCAGGUCCUCAGUUCUGAAACCAUCACACUGAUCAGACUGGGCAUGGGUGCCAAAUGCAAAAUUACCCCAAACAUACCAAUCUAUUGCAAAGGAUUUGCUGCAUGAUUUCUCCCAAAACUAAAUCCUCUUCCAAAGAAUGAAGUCUGCUCAUUUGGCAGAACAGGCAACAGGUCUGUCAGCCCUUGUGCUCCACUAUGAUGCACGUCUCUAAAAACUAUGUACUAGUCUCAGCUCUCCUGAAGACCUUUUAGAGCUGAGUAUCUGUGCAGAGGGCUUGAAGAAAUGUUACCUAGCAUCAGGUUGCCAUGAGCUUCAGGGGAAGGAGGUAAAUGGAAUGAUAUGCAGUUAAUCAGUGACAUCAGCAUGCCAGCAAAGGUCAUGAUCUUGCAAAGUGGACCCAAACACCAAGGUACACGAUUUUCAUUCAGGGGCAUUUCCAACGGAAUCACAGAGUUUGCUCAGGUUACGGUAUCAGCAUGGAGCCCGAGAUCCCAGUCCAGUAAAAGGCCUGGCCAACUAGGGCAAACGUUGAUCCAGCUAAAAGGCUAGGUCUUCUCCAAACAAAGACCAAAACAUGAAUUCUAUUUGGGGUGAUUUUUAUUUCAGAUUGAGAAGCUACACAAAGAGAGAACAAAUAUACAUUUCCAUGACAGAAGGGAAAAAGAGAGAGCAUCCAAUUGUGUCACCCUUCUAAUGCAGCAAACCAUCUCAACCUGAACCACAGGACCGUCUUCUCCCCAGACGGGCAGGGAGAAUUUUAACACCGAAGAGAGCCCUACACAGUAAACAUCUGUAAUAUCUACCCCAGGGUCACACCCCCCAGACACAGCAAUAUGGUCCUUUUUGCAUAUCCAUCUGUUCUCGGUAGAUAAUAAAAAGGCUGAUACAGAGUCACGUGGAUCAAACCCACUGCUUUAGAACAGGAACAGUUACAGAAGUUCACAAGCAUCAACACACCCACAUGGCACACGUACACAAUGGAGUGAUUGCUCUAUGUGCAUUCAGCAGUAGGUUUUAUCUGAAGGCAGGUACCUUUGUAUCUGUGAAUUUGGAUUGUACUGGAGCAGAUGGCAGUGAAUUUCAGAGUUCAUCCGUGUGUCACUUUAUUAAAGUAAUUAAUCAAAUGGUUUAGCAUGUAAAAAUACAAGGAUCCUCCCUUCUAAUUAGAGCGAUUUGUGUUCAUGUAGAAAUAAAAGCACACAGAGGCAGGACUGCUGACAGAAAACUUAGAGGAUAAAAGAAACCUACUUUCCCAGUCUUAUAGAUCAGGCUUUCACCUCACAUCAGCACAUCUUGUUCUCCCUCCUGUCUGUAGGGACAACGGAGUCUCUUGCCUUUGGUGCAUAGUUUCAAUAAAAACCCAAACAAGGCACCUUUAAGGGUAGUAAGGCAAAUCGCGUACCUCUGCGGCAGAAGGAGACACCUUGUGUCUUAGUGGUGGUCCUGCUGUCCCUGAAUCUAGAGGGCUAAUCAAAACCUUCACCCUCCCUAAGUGUGAGUGAGUCAGUCUCAGAUUACCACAAAGAAGAAGCAAUUCAGAAAAAGAGGCACAUCUCCCCUUAGCAGAGGUACACACAGUUAUUUGUACUGCUACUCACAGUCUCCACCCUGCACAGCAUACACUUUGUGCAUGACCUUACAGAAGUGUAGCCAGGAUAGUAACAGAUUUAAGUCUAAAUAAGACUACGUUCUUCAAAGACUGGAAUAUUCAGGAAUGGCAAACAUUACCUCUAUGUUGGUGCUCAGGGAAGUAACGUCAACAGAACAUCCAUUGUGGGGCAGACCAAGGAGGCAGUAAGGGCUAGGUUGGUCACAAGUUUUUGAGUUAUUAAGUGCAAAAUGUCAUUUAGGUAUUGCCUUCACAUAGGGUUGUUUGUUUUUUUCAGUCCAGCUCCUCCUCCGAAGUUGAAUCUUUGUCUUUGUCCCCACAUAACAGGAUGGGAGGUAUUCUACGUCCUCCCAUGGAGCUAGAAUAUCUUUAAGUUUAACCCAUGUACUAUAGAAGCCUGGUCCUGCUGGGGUCUCAGCAGAUUUUAAGGACCGCAGCAGACCCUGCAAGAGGGACACAGAGAAGGAAAACUGAUCUGAAUAUCAGGAAGCCUUGCUUCUGCAUCAACACUGACCAUCUAGAAAACACAUUUGUCUUGUGUGAGGCACUAAUUCAUGGGAGUACUGUGAGCACAUAAAAUGCCUCUAGCUGCAGCCGACAAGUUUUAAAAAUGUCCCUUUAUUGGGCAUUUCAAGGACAUUAUCUUCUUAAGAGGACCAACUCAAACCCCUAUGCUGCUGGGGAGGUAUCAUCCCCAUCAGAAGUCCAUAGGCCACUGAAAGCUCAUGAAAUUACAUUAAUGCACUCUAGCAAAGACCCUGGCUCGUGUAUUUUGUGGCAUUCCUUUGGGUUCUUAAAAAGCUGCCAUCCGUACCAGUUAAUACUUGGGGUAUUUUUAUGGUUAAGCACAUUUUUUUCUGUGGGAACAUACAGCAGGGGUUUUAGGCAUGUGCAAACAGUUUCCUUAAGAAAAGAUUUCCCUUCACAAUUUUUUUGUGCAAUCUGUAACAGAAAUCAAGUUGUACCAACACGCCAUACACAGUUUAACCUCGGUUACUAAAUACACGUCUGCAAAGAAGCUGAUUAUUUUUCUCGGUGUUGUUAUCAGAAGGACCAAGUGAAAGAUACCCUAAGGAACAUCUAAUACUGAAUUUCUUGGUCUCUGUGGCUUUAAACCACACUGUUAACUUUGCAUUACAAGAGGGCUGGCUCAAAAUUCAUUUCCUCGUGCUGCUUCUUGUUGGUAUGCCUGCUUGCCUUGCAAACAGCAUCUGUGGCCUUGUGGGAACUUGCAGCCUUGGGGAAUACAAGUAUAAAAGUCUCUCGGGUGGGAAUUUGAGUCAGAGCAGUUGGCCUGCUGAAAUGUUCAGAGCCAUCACCUCCUGCUGCCACUAAGAUCAGUGGUUAAAUCCAAAUGAGAUUUCACAGGUGAUGAGGAUGAUAUGUCUGCUGACACUGAGAUAGAAUCAGGCCCUUUGAUACGUAACCAUACUGUGAACUCUUGAAUGAAAAAAAUAGUUUUUCCUCUCUAUAUUAAAAAAUACAUCCUAGAGAGAAGAUAACCCUACUUCUACACUUCUUGUCUUUCAUCCUCCCUAAAAGAUGAAUGAUCAUCCUGCACUAUCAUGCUAUUAAUAUGAUGGUAUAAAUACUCAAAUUAUUUAUAAACCCUCAGAUGUUAACUUUUUUAGGGGGGUGAAGUUUGUUAGCUAACAACAGCCCUUCAGGAUUCGAGGUCUGCUCCUAGCCCACCUGAUGAUUCUUCACUUGAUUCAAGAAAGCAUCCUUUUCCUUUUUUCUGCGCAUACUCACUGCUGGAGCUGUGAAAUUAACUUCCUAAGAUGGUGCUUCAGAUGCAAAGAGAGAAAGCUAUGGGAGUCCUAUAAAGCUCUUGAUCACUUUUUGUCAAAGUACUCAGGGGCAACUGUCUCGAUGCAUUGCCUAAUGUUUGGAAAAAGUUUAAGACCAUUUGCCUUAUCCAUUUCCUCCCUGAAACAGGAGCAGCAAGUGAACACGGCUUUCAUCAACAUGCUCACGUAGAUAACAACAAGCUCAUCUUUGUCCUCAGAGAAUAAGGGCUACCAUGCAUUUAUCUGAAGAGAAUUUGUCUCAGCUACUGUGUGAGGAGGAAUGUGGGUCAAUCCCUGAUCCAGAGCUGUACUGUCAUUUCUCUGUGGUCACGGCGAGCAGCCAGGAGCAGCUUAUCAGAGCCCCAUGCCGCUCUGCUGUAUGCUUAGUUGUUGCUCAGUGACAGUGUGCUUCAGAAAUAUCAGCACUCAGCCUCUGCCUCCCCUUGCAAAGCCUUGCCAGUUGGGGCAGGGAUGUGCAUCAUCUCUAAUACAUGCUGAACAAAUGCCUGCAGUCUUUCUGAUGCCAUCCAUAUCAAAACCCCAAGGAAAAGAUGCUUCCUUCAGUGCCAUAGUUUCUUUAAAUAUUUAACUGCCCUAUCCUCUGUGAUGCUCUGCCUGCAGUCCUCAAGAUCUUCCUUCUUUUUCUCCACCCUUUGUCCCAUACUGCCACCAAGAUGACUUGUCUUGUUAGCUGAAAAGCUCUUCCAUUGAAGCUAGACAGAAACUAAGCUGACAAGGCUCUUAAUUUAGGUGUUGAAUCCAUGGUGAAGCCUGCUGUUUUACCUAAACAUGGGCUUUCAUCGCAUCCUGGAUGGAGAUGGAAGGAGGAAGACAAAGCAGAGCAACUCGAUCUGACACCAGCUCCCACUCUUCCCAUGAGUUAGCCCAGCAAAUGGAUCUCCUGUCAGACAGUCAUUCACAUUUUAGCACAAUGCAACUCUGACUUCAUGAUGCAUACUUUAAUUAUUUGAUUCCCUUCCGAUUUUGGAUAAAUUUAUUAUUAUCCAAGAUUUAGUGCUCUGUAUCUUAAGAGUGCUUUACAUUAUCCUCCACAUUGUUGCCUGUGAGAGACUGAUAAGUAUCUGUAAAGCUAAUUUACAGAAAAGGAAGCACAGGCAGAGAAUUUGUGUGACCUGCCUAAUUCUGUGCUGUUCCAUCAGUCAUUACAAGCAUGUCUGGAAGUGACUGUAAGCUGUCAUGGCCCAGUUAAAAUUCGUGAAAAUGUGACAUUUUUCCUUGGUGAGAGUUUGUCUUUUGACCCCUUGGCUUCCUACCUGAAGCACAAUGCUUGUGACCUGUGGAAAGGUCAGGGGAAAAAUAACUUCCAACAGGAUGUCUUCUAGGGACUGAAAAAAUGUGCGGUGCUAGCAGAAGAUGGGAGUGAAGAUUCAGCCCAAAGUGUUGAGCGACACUACAGAUCUUUGCAGAAAGAAGCAGUGGCUUUAUACCUUAGGCAAGCCCUCAAGGAGGCAACCUCCAACAUAUGCAGAGCUGAAAGAGGAAGCUCUCCUUUCAACAACAAAUAGUCUCAGUUUUCAUUAUUUCUACUGUAAAAUAUUAAAGCACACACAAGAGAAGUAAUCUAAGAAUGGUCACCAAUGGAUCAUGUUUAACUCUGGCACCGUCCACAGCAAAUGCUCAGGGCAGAGUGCAGGAACAGAGCAAGCACAUAUGAAAGCUUCCUUCCCCUCACACUAUCCUCACAACCUCCCAGUGCCUCCAGCUCAGGGCACUGCCUCUUCAGGUAGUGACAAGGCUGCCCAGCAAAGACAAAGCAGAGGUUGGUUUACCAGCCGAUUCUGUACUUGGCUGGCUCCCCAUUUCUGUUAUGUCAAAAGGACACAGUCCUGUUCGUCGUGACACUUCAGGAAAACCCCUGUUUGGCCCUAGCUUGCAAGAUAUGUCCCAAGAGAGGUCUAAAGGCCUUUGGAAUUACUGAAUCUUGUAGUGCAACUACCAACAUGCUAGCAGGGACUCAGCUAAAGCUCAAUUCCUGGUGAUAAUGGGUGUUUACUGAAAAUAUUCUAACAGCCAAGUGCUGGCACCCUUCAUUGCUCACUACUGCUUGUCAGGCAGUCAUGUCAUAGCUACGUCUCAUAGCACAGAACCUUUCCCAGGAUGAGAGACAGAUGCUGCUCAGCAAGCACUCUCUAAGCAACUCUUAAAGAGUUACUAAGCCUCACAAAUCCUUGUUGAGGUAAGGGCAGGAGCAAGGCAGAAUGCAAAACACAUUCCCAAGGACCAUCUGAAAACUACAUCCAUCACACACAGAAAAGCUUAGGGCAUUUCAGAAAACGCAGUGAGAUGAAGUAGUGACUGAUAAAGCAUGGAGUAGAAAUUCUGUCACAGAGAAGAAGUAAAAGAUGGUCCAAACCAGUCAAAGGCACUUCACUGAAAAAGAGAAGGUAAAAGGGAAAGAACAGGGUCAGAGUGAAAAAAGCAUUGGGUAUGCCAAAGACUUACAAACACUUCUCUUCCAUAUUCCUGUAUUUUUCUCCUAAAAAGUAAUCAUGGCACUAGAGGGUUGGGCAUCAGCCGUUUAUAGCCUGCUUUCCUGAAAUGAAGAGGCUUUUCUGAUCACAGGGCUGCUGUGUAUGUGCACCCUCCCUUUUCUGACCAGUAAUACUAGAAUUUACUACUUUUUUUCCAGUCCCAUUUCACCAGCGCAGCAUGAAAGUCUCCAUCAUGGUAAUAAAUGACGUAUAUAGAAGGAGAUGCCUCCAGUACUCCUCUUGAAUUGAAAGGAUGUGACUGGAGCUCCCCUUGUGAGAAACAGCUCUUAAAAAGGAAAAAUAGCAGCAGGAAUUCACUCUUGGACCCAAGACACAAACCCAUCAGAAGCCUAUAAAUGAAAUGAAAAUGAAUUGUGGCAGGAAAGGCAAUGGCAUCCCCCAGGAAGUUGUGAAUACCUUAAGAAAAACACCAGAAGGGAUGAAAAGGAUCUGUACUUUCCGAAAGAAAGACUAAAACCAAACAAGGAAAACAGCAUUAUCUAGAUGGAAUUUAUUUCCUCCUGAAAUAAAAAGCAGCUGACUAAAGGAUUCACUUUUACAGUCAAGUUGGGAGAAUUCAUACGUCCACUCAAAAGACACUGAAGUACCAUACUUGUGACAGAUUUGUGGAGUGCCUGGGUAAGAGCAGAGCAGGUGCCACCAGCUGCACCUGCACUGCUGCUGAGCACCUUCUUAGCCAGCUCACAGCCUCUUGGUAUGAGGCUGCAUGGGGACCUGAAGUAGGAAGCUCCCAGUGUAGCGCUGCGGGUCGAGGACUGCAUCUAAAGAGCACAGAAAAAUGCACGUCCUCCAACGGCCCUUCCAUUUUUCUCCCAGAGACCUUACCUGAAGACCUUGACCACUUAAAGCAAGUGUCAAAGUCUGCCAUCUCAGUCAGGACUCACACUGUUACAAGGGCAGCUGUUGGAAUGUGUCAUUUUUUUUUACAGUCCAAGAGAGUGCAAUAACAGAUCUUUUACAUUUGUACCUUAGGAAAAAAUAAUCUGAAGCCAAGCGGAGAGCCCUAGAAGAUAUGACAAGGCCAUCACAAUGAAUGGGAACAUCACAGAAAAAUAAGAAAUGUAAUUUCUGACACAGAUAAUAACAUAAAGGACCAAGAAGAUAUUUGGAAAAGCAGUCAUUAACCAGCAUUCACGCUUCCAUGGAAAACUCUGGGACCCCUCUUGCUGCGUGCGAACAACAAAAGAACUGGCAGCUUUCUAAAUCUAAAGUAGGGUUUCUGCAAGAUUACAAAUUUCUGGCAAGAUAAAAGGCUGGUCCUAAAUACUCAAUGUUUCAUAUAAACCCAAUGGCACCUGGAGGAGGAGUAUUAAAUUUCCUUUGUUCAAUUCCAGCUAUAGGAAUGAUUUGGCCUCCUUAAAGCUCACUGCUUUAACAAGCUUUACACAGGACUAGACAUUCACCUUGACACGAAACAUGGCAAUCCACUAAUGGGGACUCAGAGAUGCAUUCUUCAGCAAAGACAUUUAGCUUCUGCAUUGCUAGUGGAAGAUAUUAAGACAACUCUGAGAUAAUUGGCAUUAAUUUAACCAUUUUCUGGGAUCUACUGCCAGAAAGAAUGCCCCACAGCCUACAUCAUGCUGCUUAGAGGAACAGGGUACAAUCAAGCAGCACCACAGGGAAGGAAGAUCAAUAAAGCAGUGGCUAGGUGUUGUCUGUGAGGAAGCCCAGCCUUCACUCACCCCUAGAGUACUUUCAUCUGUUGGCAACACUAGCUCUGGGUUGAAAAAUCAAAACUGAGCAACUUCCUAUUCUCAAAUGUUGCUGUGACGCUUCACAGGAAUUACCGUUUGGGUGCUGCCUGGUCUCAUGUCUUCAGCUGAGCUGAAUGUGUCAUGGUGAGGGAGAGCAUCAAAGGAGCUAAAUGUCUGAUGGGAGAUAGAAAUGCAUCUAACAGAACCCAGCCUGCAGGGAACAGUUUUGAUUUCCAGUUCUCCUGAAGUAUCCAUAUGCUGUUUUAAAAUCAAAAUAUUUGCAGUUCUGGUGCAUUCACAUUUUUCCAUGAAACAUCUAGACUUGUUAAAAAAAGAGGGGGGCGUAGAGAACCAUUUUUUCAAACCUCAAACAUUUUUCAAAACGCUUCUUACUUGUUGACUUUCAUUGUCAGCUACAAAGCACAGUUUUAGUUUCCUGAGUUGAAAGGAAUUGGGAUGAUUCUAACUGGAGGAAAUGCAAAGUUUCAGCAGGUCUUGAUCUGCCAAGAAUGAAAUAAUAAAUAUUGGCCAAAGGAUGUCCCUAGAGAAUUGUUUGUCUUCUUCCAUUUUUAAACUGAGCCAACAAUUGAUCCAAUUUUGUGGACAUGGCUAUAAAUAAGCCACUUAAAAAGAAACUUCACCUGUAGUUUCACAGUGGGCUGACUAAUCCCUUCUUACUUUGUUUGCAUAGUGCUGCAGCACACAAUUAAACAGCCAGUCAUGACGCACUCACUGUGUUCUCCCUCAGAGGUGGCCACAUCUCAUUCUGAGCGUCUUUUUGCAAAAUUCAUUGUGUCCCUUUACCAGGAAAGAUGCUUUGCAAAUGAAGGCUGCUGCUGCUAUAAAAUUGGAGCUGCCUCUUCCUAGUGCCGUGAACAUAAACAUCAGCAACGGGAUAUCUUUCCAAGAUAGCUUCCUCUGAAGCAAGAGAGGAGAAAGAAAAGGGGAGACUUAUCAUUAUUGUACAUCAAAGCUAAGUGUAAAUAUAUAUUACUGAGUUAACAGUGUGGAGGACUGACCGCAUGCACUCAUCUCGCUAAAGCAGCCAAAUGAAAGUGUCACAAGUCCAGGCAAAUCUUGGCGUAUGCACAGCUAUCAUUUUGUAACUACGUGCUGUCCAAAAUGCCAAGAGAAAUCAACAGGACUUUUGCAAUGUUUGCCGGACUUUGAUCAGGUUUGGGGUGCAAAAUCAGGAAGUUUGUGGUAAAGGAAAAAAGGUGGAGUCAGAAUCCAGAAGCAUCUGGAUCAGCUUCAAGCAAAGUUUACCAUCUGCCAUUAAGCAUUACCCCAGCCCAGCACCACCCAGAAGUAAAUGUAAGCUGCUGCUGGAAGUACAUUUGUAGCAGGACCAAACUCCUAGCAGGAUCACGUAUACAACUGUCCUAACGCUCAGAGAUCACUGAACGUUUGUAACAGGACCAAAUUCCCAACAGGAAAAGGGAUACAACUGUCCCAACAUUCAGAGAUUACUGAACGUUUGUAACAGGACCAAAUUCCUAGCAGGAACAGGUAUGCAACUGUUCCAGAGAUCACUGAGGUUAGAAACUCACCUCCUUUCUUCCCCUUUCAAGCCAACAAUCAGACCUGCCUGUCGUCAGUUCCCACAUGUGUUCAGAUUUUUUUCUCCCCUGUUCAAUUUUGCCGGAAAAGGGAUAUGGCUUAAUUUGUUUGGACUGACCCAUUAAACAAACAUGAGCAGGACAUGGAGUGCUAGCAAAGGUGCAUGUGUGUUUUCAUGAAGGGAACUGACUUCUUGCUUUCUUGAUGUCACAGGCAAGCCUCUUUUAGACAUAUUUAUGCUGGAACAGAAUCCACAUUUUUUAAGCCCCAGAGGGAUUACUUUAACAAAAUUUGUGCUUCCUCUGGACUUUUUUCUCAACAACUUGCUAAGAGGGGAGGAGAAAACCAGUUCCUGAUCUGCUCUAAGAUAUCCUUCGUUUGGUUCCAAAGUUUGGGAAUUACUCACCAAAAGGCAAGAAAGCUGCUAUGAGCUGCAAUGCAGUGGGGGAAUGGAACAAGGUUUGGACCCCUGUGAUUAAUUCAGAUAUGACACUU